ensembl:lncRNA
GGAGAGCUGAAGGCAAGUGGGAGGUGGAGUGGAAAGAAGCUCACAAUGAAGAUGGGAGCACUGAUACUUUGCACAAGGAGCCAAAGAAAUUAACGUCUGUCUUCUCUACAGCAGCAAUUGUAGAACAGAUGCCUCUUUGCAAAGUUAAAGAGGAAAACCCGUCUCAAUGCCAGCAACUGAUGUUGGGGCGUAGUUGUACCAAGGGGCCAGAGACCUCCAGAGAUCCACUGAGUUUUGAGACUUCACCCUUAUCAAUAUCCCUUUCACCUUUGUCACUUUACUCUCCCUGUUAUGAUGGGCUAGCAGGAGUUAGUAAUGUCAGUGGGAGUAUUCAAGCAAAAGAGAAUGUAAGGGAGCAUGUGUCAGACACUUUCAAUAUUUUUAAGACUGGAGUUAUUAGAACUGACAACAAAGAAAGUGAUGACAUUUGCUUGAGCCAAAAUUUGUUUCAGAUUAAUAAAAGUCUGUCAAAACUCCAGGCACUGAGUCAGUCACAGGUAUGUGAGAAAAGUGUGCCCACUAACACCAGUGUAACCUCCUCUCAGAUUCAGUCUCCAUCCAUUUCUCCCUUUACUUCGGAGUGCAGCUUUAGUAACUAUUCUGAAGAUGUGCUUGACUUUCCAUGUUUAAAUCUCGAAAGCUACGAUCAGAUGCCUGCACAAAACAACUUGGCAAGCUCUUUAAUAGAUUACUGUCCUGGUGAACCACAUAACACCGGGUCCUUCAGCAGCCCCUUCUCCCAAAGUCCCACUGAUGCAUGGAAUCCGGAGACCCCUUACCUAGGAUCGCCAAGCCCAGUGAGUAACUUCAGUAGUGAUGAGGAGCUAAGUUUCCCGGAUAUUGUGUUUGCUCAGUCUGAUACAUCCUCAUCUAUUGGUGCAUCUCAGCUGUUCUUCAAAGAUAAGCUGUGUAAUACAGCCACGAGUUCUGCUCCUCUUCAAGACUCUGAGAAAGAUCUGUACUUGUCUGAUGGCGAGUUGUCCAAAACUCCCAUAGAACUCCAGGUCCAGGAAGAUUCAGCUACACAGUUUCUUCCUAGAGACUUAACAAUGUUUAACAAUGCAUCUACAAGUGCUAAACAACCUGGGCACCCAACUGUGCGAAUUCAUCCUCAGAAUAAAAAGUUUAACUUCCUUGAUUCCAUUGUUAACACAAAGUCCUCAGAGUCAUACCUUGCUAAAAUUGACGUUAAAGACAAAAUUCAUGGACCUCUCAACUUGCAUAGCUCAAAAGCUAAAUCUGAAUCUUUCUUUCGAAAUCAGCCAACACAAAGUCUGCAUGGUGCCGGACCUCACAGUAACCUUGUUACACCCUUCCAUUCACUUCACGUAGGAAAUAAGCCAACCUCACUUGCUGAUUAUCCAGGUGCAUUCAAUUCUGGUAAUGCACUUUUUAGUAGCAAUGACAAGAAGUUUCCUUUUUGUCCAACCCCCAAGAAUGUCUCGAAAGCCUUGGAAGGCCAGAAUGCUAGUCGAAUUUCUGUGGCUGCAGGCAGCUCGAAAUCUCACAACAACAUGGAAAGCAUCUAUGCUUGUCCGGGUCCAUCAAGUUCUCACAGUGGAAAAGAGUCUUCUGCUAGAUAUCCUAAUGCUGAGUUCUCAAGAUUGGCUGAAAAUCUGCAAAAAAACCCAAAGAACAUCCAGUCCAAACAGUACCCUGCUAAUCCUGGUCAGCAAGGUGAUCGCAUUCACCCUGUUUACUUCAUCAGCUCUAGCAAAACCACAGCAAACAUCUUCAAGAACAUAAAGCCCCAGAUCUCAAGGAAUGAUAAAGCUCCAUCCCUGCCCUCCACGUAUUUAUUUUCCUCAGCUCAAGGUUCUCAAUGUUACAGUACAACACAAAGCAAACUCUACAAAUUGGAAAAACCCCAUGCUGUUGUGGCUCCCA